rnacentral:rRNA from 1 species
UACGUAGGGGGCAAGCGUUGUCCGGAAUUAUUGGGCGUAAAGCGCGCGCAGGCGGCUAUUUAAGUCUGGUGUUUAAACCUUGGGCUCAACCUGGGGUCGCACUGGAAACUGGAUGGCUUGAGUACAGAAGAGGAAAGUGGAAUUCCACGUGUAGCGGUGAAAUGCGUAGAGAUGUGGAGGAACACCAGUGGCGAAGGCGACUUUCUGGGCUGUAACUGACGCUGAGGCGCGAAAGCGUGGGGAGCAAACAGG